GUAGGGUGCGAGCGUUAAUCGGAAUUACUGGGCGUAAAGCGUGCGCAGGCGGUUUUGUAAGCCAGAUGUGAAAGCCCCGGGCUUAACCUGGGAAUGGCAUUUGGGACUGCAAGGCUUGAGUGCGGCAGAGGAGACUGGAAUUCCUGGUGUAGCAGUGAAAUGCGUAGAUAUCAGGAGGAAUACCGAUGGCGAAGGCAGGUCUCUGGGCUGACACUGACGCUCAUGCACGAAAGCGUGGGGAGCAAACAGGAUUAGAUACCCUGGUAGUCCACGCCCUAAACGAUGUCGACUGGUUGUUGGGGGUUUGACACUCUCAGUAACGAAGCUAACGCGUGAAGUCGACCGCCUGGGGAGUACGGCCGCAAGGUUA
rnacentral:rRNA from 1 species